rnacentral:rRNA from 1 species
AUUGAACGCUGGCGGCAGGCCUAACACAUGCAAGUCGAGCGAGCGGCGGACGGGUGAGUAAUGUAUGGGGACUGCCCGAUAGAGGGGUAUAACUACUGGAAACGGUGGCUAAUACCACAUAAUAGCGGUUAACCCAUAUGGGAUUAGCUAGUAGGUGGGGUAAAGGCUCACCUAGGCGACGAUCCCUAGCUGGUCUGAGAGGAUGAUCAGCCACACUGGGACGAGGACACGGCCCAGAUUCCUACGGAGGCAGCAGUGGGGAAUAUGGCAAAAUGGGCGCAAGCCUGAUGCAGCCAUUCCGCGUGUAUGAGGAGGGCCAUAGGGUUGUAAAGUACUUUCAGCGGGGAGGCGUUACCCGCAGAAGAAGCACCGGCUAACUCCGUGCCAGCAGCCGCGGUAAUAC